CUGUGCUGCUUCAUCCCCGGUGGUGGCCCCAGGUAUUACUGGCCCUUGGACCAGACCUGGGGAGCCCGCAGCCGAAGAGGCUCCUGCUCGGGGCGGUGGGGGGACUUCACUCCCCCCGGCAGGAGGAGCGGUCGGAGAUCUUCCCUUCUCUGAGGAGUCAGUUGGGGGAGCCUCUCCAGCCCUGGUCGGGCUGCUUGUUGUAGUCGGCGCCGCGCUCGGGAGCUCCUCGGUGCUCCCAGGCGCGACUGCAGCUGUUGGCUGCUCUGUGGUCUGGGGGGCCGCAUCCCCAGAACCGCGGGCAGGCUCGCCCGUUCCCUGGCUGGCAGUUUGGCCAGGGUCGACAUCCGAUGCCGCACUACAGGGACAGAAGUUAAAAAAAAAAAAAAAAGAGGAGUCCAAAAUACGUAAGUCAAACACUUACAGGUCUGACCGACGGUGGGCCGCGGUGAACCUCCUCCUCGCCCGGCAGGUCGGCACCUGUGCCCCC
rnacentral:lncRNA from 1 species